rnacentral:rRNA from 1 species
AUUCCAGCUCCAAUAGCGUAUAUUAAAGUUGUUGCAGUUAAAAAGCUCGUAGUUGGAUUUCUGGUUUGAUGCCCUGGCCCGCUGCUAUUUUGGUAGUGUGUGCCGGUUGUGCGUCUGCCAUCCUUCUAGGGAACGUUCCUUCUCUUCACUGAGCCGGGUUCGUGAUCUAGAUCGUUUACUUUGAAAAAAUUAGAGUGUUUAAAGCAGGCUUUUGCUAUGAAUACAUUAGCAUGGAAUAAUAAUCUAGGACUUCGGUCAUAUUUUGUUGGUUUCUGUAACUGAAGUAAUGAUUGAUAGGGAUAGUUGGGGGUGCUAGUAUUGAGCGGCCAGAGGUGAAAUUCUUGGAUUCGCUCAAGACUAACUUAUGCGAAAGCAUUCACCAAGGAUGUCUUCAUUG